UUAAGCGACUAAGCGUACACGGUGGAUGCCCUGGCAGUCAGAGGCGAUGAAGGACGUGCUAAUCUGCGAAAAGCGUCGGUAAGGUGAUAUGAACCGUUAUAACCGGCGAUGUCCGAAUGGGGAAACCCAGUGUGAUUCGUCACACUAUCGUUAACUGAAUACAUAGGUUAACGAGGCGAACCGGGGGAACUGAAACAUCUAAGUACCCCGAGGAAAAGAAAUCAACCGAGAUUCCCCCAGUAGCGGCGAGCGAACGGGGAGCAGCCCAGAGUCUGAAUCAGCUUGUGUGUUAGUGGAACGGUCUGGAAAGUCCGACGGUACAGGGUGAUAGUCCCGUACACCAAAAUGCACAGGCUGUGAACUCGAAGAGUAGGGCGGGACACGUGGUAUCCUGUCUGAAUAUGGGGGGACCAUCCUCCAAGGCUAAAUACUCCUGACUGACCGAUAGUGAACCAGUACCGUGAGGGAAAGGCGAAAAGAACCCCGGCGAGGGGAGUGAAAAAGAACCUGAAACCGUGUACGUACAAGCAGUGGGAGCACCUUCGGGUGUGACUGCGUACCUUUUGUAUAAUGGGUCAGCGACUUAUAUUCUGUAGCAAGGUUAACCGUAUAGGGGAGCCGCAGGGAAACCGAGUCUUAACUGGGCGUUAAGUUGCAGGGUAUAGACCCGAAACCCGGUGAUCUAGCCAUGGGCAGGUUGAAGGUUGGGUAACACUAACUGGAGGACCGAACCGACUAAUGUUGAAAAAUUAGCGGAUGACUUGUGGCUGGGGGUGAAAGGCCAAUCAAACCGGGAGAUAGCUGGUUCUCCCCGAAAGCUAUUUAGGUAGCGCCUCGUGAAUUCAUCUUCGGGGGUAGAGCACUGUUUCGGCUAGGGGGUCAUCCCGACUUACCAACCCGAUGCAAACUACGAAUACCGAAGAAUGUUAUCACGGGAGACACACGGCGGGUGCUAACGUCCGUCGUGAAGAGGGAAACAACCCAGACCGCCAGCUAAGGUCCCAAAGUCAUGGUUAAGUGGGAAACGAUGUGGGAAGGCACAGACAGCCAGGAUGUUGGCUUAGAAGCAGCCAUCAUUUAAAGAAAGCGUAAUAGCUCACUGGUCGAGUCGGCCUGCGCGGAAGAUGUAACGGGGCUAAACCAUGCACCGAAGCUGCGGCAGCGACACUAUGUGUUGUUGGGUAGGGGAGCGUUCUGUAAGCCUGCGAAGGUGACCUGUGAGGGUUGCUGGAGGUAUCAGAAGUGCGAAUGCUGACAUAAGUAACGAUAAAGCGGGUGAAAAGCCCGCUCGCCGGAAGACCAAGGGUUCCUGUCCAACGUUAAUCGGGGCAGGGUGAGUCGACCCCUAAGGCGAGGCCGAAAGGCGUAGUCGAUGGGAAACAGGUUAAUAUUCCUGUACUUGGUGUUACUGCGAAGGGGGGACGGAGAAGGCUAUGUUAGCCGGGCGACGGUUGUCCCGGUUUAAGCAUGUAGGCUGAUUAUCCAGGCAAAUCCGGAUAAUCAAGGCUGAGGUGUGAUGACGAGGCACUACGGUGCUGAAGUAACAAAUGCCCUGCUUCCAGGAAAAGCCUCUAAGCAUCAGGUAACAUCAAAUCGUACCCCAAACCGACACAGGUGGUCAGGUAGAGAAUACCAAGGCGCUUGAGAGAACUCGGGUGAAGGAACUAGGCAAAAUGGUGCCGUAACUUCGGGAGAAGGCACGCUGGUGUGUAGGUGAAGUCCCUGCGGAUGGAGCUGAGACCAGUCGAAGAUACCAGCUGGCUGCAACUGUUUAUUAAAAACACAGCACUGUGCAAACACGAAAGUGGACGUAUACGGUGUGACGCCUGCCCGGUGCCGGAAGGUUAAUUGAUGGGGUUAUCCGUAAGGAGAAGCUCUUGAUCGAAGCCCCGGUAAACGGCGGCCGUAACUAUAACGGUCCUAAGGUAGCGAAAUUCCUUGUCGGGUAAGUUCCGACCUGCACGAAUGGCGUAAUGAUGGCCAGGCUGUCUCCACCCGAGACUCAGUGAAAUUGAACUCGCUGUGAAGAUGCAGUGUACCCGCGGCAAGACGGAAAGACCCCGUGAACCUUUACUAUAGCUUGACACUGAACAUUGAGCCUUGAUGUGUAGGAUAGGUGGGAGGCUUUGAAGCGUGGACGCCAGUCUGCGUGGAGCCAACCUUGAAAUACCACCCUUUAAUGUUUGAUGUUCUAACGUUGGCCCCUUACCGGGGUUGCGGACAGUGUCUGGUGGGUAGUUUGACUGGGGCGGUCUCCUCCCAAAGCGUAACGGAGGAGCACGAAGGUUAGCUAAUCCUGGUCGGACAUCAGGAGGUUAGUGCAAUGGCAUAAGCUAGCUUGACUGCGAGCGUGACGGCGCGAGCAGGUGCGAAAGCAGGUCAUAGUGAUCCGGUGGUUCUGAAUGGAAGGGCCAUCGCUCAACGGAUAAAAGGUACUCCGGGGAUAACAGGCUGAUACCGCCCAAGAGUUCAUAUCGACGGCGGUGUUUGGCACCUCGAUGUCGGCUCAUCACAUCCUGGGGCUGAAGUAGGUCCCAAGGGUAUGGCUGUUCGCCAUUUAAAGUGGUACGCGAGCUGGGUUUAGAACGUCGUGAGACAGUUCGGUCCCUAUCUGCCGUGGGCGCUGGAGAAUUGAGGGGGGCUGCUCCUAGUACGAGAGGACCGGAGUGGACGCAUCACUGGUGUUCGGGUUGUCAUGCCAAUGGCACUGCCCGGUAGCUAAAUGCGGAAGAGAUAAGUGCUGAAAGCAUCUAAGCACGAAACUUGCCCCGAGAUGAGUUCUCCCUGAGACUUUAAGUCUCCUGAAGGAACGUUGAAGACGACGACGUUGAUAGGCCGGGUGUGUAAGCGCAGCGAUGCGUUGAGCUAACCGGUACUAAUGAACCGUGAGGCUUAACCUU
rnacentral:rRNA from 1 species